AUGGAUGUGGCGUAGCUUGGUAUAGUAUUUGUUUUAGGUACAAAAUAUCAUGGGUUCAAAUCCUGUCAUUCCUA